rnacentral:rRNA from 1 species
AGGGAAUCUUGGACAAUGGGCGAAAGCCUGAUCCAGCCAUGCCGCGUGAGUGAUGAAGGCCCUAGGGUUGUAAAGCUCUUUCGCCAGGGAAGAUAAUGACGGUACCUGGUAAAGAAACCCCGGCUAACUCCGUGCCAGCAGCCGCGGUAAUACGGAGGGGGUUAGCGUUGUUCGGAAUUACUGGGCGUAAAGCGCACGUAGGCGGAUUAAUAAGUCAGGGGUGAAAUCCCGAGGCUCAACCUCGGAACUGCCUUUGAUACUGUUAGUCUUGAGUUCGAGAGAGGUGAGUGGAAUUCCGAGUGUAGAGGUGAAAUUCGUAGAUAUUCGGAGGAACACCAGUGGCGAAGGCGGCUCACUGGCUCGAUACUGACGCUGAGGUGCGAAAGCGUGGGGAGCAAACAGG